AAAAAGCACAACAGCUACUUUUUUUUUUUUUUUUUUCUCGAAGUUAGCUGGCUUUCCUUCAUUCCCAGCCCCAGUAAGGUACCCGCAUGGUCCCCCUGCAGCUCCCUGCCGGCCCUUUCCAACACUCACAGCUUUUGCGCAACUCCCCACGUGGCUGAGCGCCGCUACCGAGCGCUCCCAGCAGCAGACGCCUCACCAUUUUUAAGCCUUUCAGCUUCCCCUCGCUCGCACCCCCGGGACACCCACGCGAUUAUCACGACUACCGCAAGCCUUCACCCGGGCGUUCCCUCCCUCCCGGCCCGUCCCGGCCCCGCAGCGCAGCCGGCACACACGCAGACCCCUCGCUCCCGGCUGCCGGCAGCCCCGCCGCCCACACGGCGCUUCAGGUGGGCUCCGCGCGCCGCCAGGAGCCCCCCGCGCCCUCGCCCCCUCCCGCAGCGCCGCGGCCGCCGGCGGUACCUCAGGAAUUGCUCGGGCCGCGCGGCAGCGGCGCCCGCCACCCUGAGCGCGGCCUCCAGCCCGCUGCGCGCCGCCAUCUUGCCCCGCCCCGCGCCGUCAGGGCGCCCCCCGCGGCCGGGAGGCGGCGAGCGGCAAAAUGGCGGGCGGCUGGCGGCGGGCGGCGGCCGAACUUCUGGCUGCGAUGAAAGUGAUGACAGGAUGCACUGUGUGAAAGGCUGGCAAGAGAUACACCAGAGCAGUUCCUUGGAGAAGUGAGCAGGUUUAUGAAAGCUCUUAAUGUAGGCUGUUGAUUUAAUAUUUUCAAAAGAUUUUGAGUACACUUACUCUCAUGGUAGUAUUCAAAAUUAUGUGAAUUUCAUGUUGUAAUUCAUAGAAUCAUAGAAUCAUAGAGUAUCCUGAGUUGGAAGGGACCCUUAAGGAUCAUCAAGUCCAACUCUUGACACCGCACAGGUCUACCCAAAAGUUCAGACCAUGUGACUAAGUGCACAGUCCAAUCUCUUCUUAAAUUCAGUCAGGUUCGGUGCAGUGACCACUUCCCUGGGGAGCCUGUUCCAGUGUGCAACCACUCUCUCUGUGAAGAACCCCCUCCUUCUGUCAAGCCUAAACUUCCCCUGCCUCAGCUUAACCCCGUUCCGGCGGGUCCUGUCGCUGGUGUUAAUGGAGAAAAGGUCUCCUGCCUCUCGACACCCCCUUACGAGGAAGUUGUAGACUGCGAUGAGGUCUCCCCUCAGCCUCCUCUUCUCCAGGCUGAACAGGCCCAGUGCCCUCAGCCGUUCCUCGUACGUCUUCCCCUCCAGGCCUUUCACCAUCUUCGUAGCCCUCCUCUGGACACUCUCCAACAGUUUCAUGUCCUUUUUAUACUGUGGUGCCCAGAACUGCACACAGUACUCAAGGUGAGGCCGCACCAGCGCAGAGUAGAGCGGGACAAUCACCUCCCUCGACCUACUAGCGAUGCCGUGCUUGAUGCACCCCAGGACACGGUUGGCCCUCCUGGCUGCCAGGGCACACUGCUGGCUCAUAUUCAACUUGCUGUCUACCACGACCCCCAGAUCUCUCUCUUCUAGGCUGCUCUCCAGCGUCUCAUCGCCCAGUCUGUACGUGCAGCCAGGGUUUCCCCGUCCCAGGUGCAGGACCCGGCACUUGCUCCUAUUGAACUUCAUGUGGUUGGCGAUCGCUCAGCUCUCCAACCUAUCCAGAUCCCUCUGCAAGGCCUUUCCACCCUCAUUCGAGUCCACAACUCCUCCAAGUUUGGU
rnacentral:lncRNA from 1 species